rnacentral:rRNA from 1 species
AGUGAACGCUGGCGGUAGGCCUAACACAUGCAAGUCGAACGGCAGCACAGGAGAGCUUGCUCUCUGGGUGGCGAGUGGCGGACGGGUGAGGAAUACAUCGGAAUCUACCUUUUCGUGGGGGAUAACGUAGGGAAACUUACGCUAAUACCGCAUACGACCUACGGGUGAAAGUGGGGGACCGCAAGGCCUCACGCGAUUAGAUGAGCCGAUGUCCGAUUAGCUAGUUGGCGGGGUAAUGGCCCACCAAGGCGACGAUCGGUAGCUGGUCUGAGAGGAGGAUCAGCCACACUGGAACUGAGACACGGUCCAGACUCCUACGGGAGGCAGCAGUGGGGAAUAUUGGACAAUGGGCGCAAGCCUGAUCCAGCCAUACCGCGUGGGUGAAGAAGGCCUUCGGGUUGUAAAGCCCUUUUGUUGGGAAAGAAAUCCUAUCGGUUAAUAACCGGUGGGGAUGACGGUACCCAAAGAAUAAGCACCGGCUAACUUCGUGCCAGCAGCCGCCGUAA